CAUCUUCUUCCUCCAAAUCAUAUUUCUCCAAUUCUAGCUUUUCUUCUUCCUCUUCUUCUGGUUCAUGUUCUUCGUGGUCAUCCGAAACCAGUCUGGAAAAUGCCUCUUUGCCCACUGAGUCCAAGCGAGCUAUUCAACAUCCAAAGCACUCACAAUCAUGUAUGGAUAUCAGCAGAGGACGGAGAGCCUUUGAGGAUGAUGAGGAUGAUGUAGAUACAAUGCCUUUAUUGGAUGCUGAUGGCCAACUGAAGAAGUCCACAAGCAUGGAAAAGAAUCUGACUGUCAAAGAAACAAGUGGAGGGACUGCCAAGAAGACUGCAACAAAUACUCAACAAAAGAAUGAAAAGGAAAUUAAGGGGCAACAACAUAAUCAUGCCAAAGGGGCUGCAAACAUAAGAAAGACCAAGUCUAUGGAGGUUUUGUCAAGGCAAACAGAUCAUGCUGGUGUUGAAGACUUAGAUGAGAAAGGGCUGGAGAAAAGGAAACAAGAGGCUCAUAAGAACUUUUUGAAGGAGAAGAUGAAGUUUUCUGCCUUUCUGAAUGAAAUCACAAGGCAGGUACUUAGCCCAUCAAGACUUACAUCACUUGGGGUAACAGAUGUUCACAGGCCUUUGAGCCCUGGUCAAACUUCAAUGCCUCCAAAGGCAUUGUCUCCAAAGCCUAAACAUAAAAGUGAAAAGAAGUCAAAAAUUACCAGAAGCCGGCCUGGAAGUAGUGCUAGCUCCAUAACAUCAACUACUCACUCCCAUGUCAGCAAAUAUUCACACUCUAGUAAGCAUUCUCACUCAAGUAAGCACUCUCACUCAAGUAAGCGCUCCCAUUCCAAUCGGCACUCACAUUCAAGCAAGACCUCCCGCUCGAACAAACAUUCUUAUCCUGAAAGGGACCUCAUCUAUCAACAACAGCACCAGGCUGUUCCCAGGCAUCGACAUGACAGUGCAAAAAGUGAUAUAAGCUAUACUAGUUCUUCUUCAAAAGGUCUUUCAUCUGGGACUGAACGUAACCACAAAAGUCAGAAAAAGCACCAAACUGCCUCCAAAGAACAUUUCAAUUUACCGAAUCAUCGAACUUCACACCACAAAUUGUCCUCAUCACACCACCAUUACAACAAAGAUAAUCAUAGCUUGCCUUUAUGUCCUUGUUCUCCAGAAACAGAAAACCAACAUCAUCAUGCCCAUACAGAAUCUCAUCACCAUCAUACCCAUACAGAAUCACAUCACCUUCAUGCCCAUCGAGAUUCGCAACACCACCAUGCCCAUCCAGAAUCUCAUUACCAACAUGCCUGUCCAGAAUUACAUCACCAUCACACCCAUCAGGAGUCGCAUCACCAUCACACCCAUCAGGGAUCUCAUCACCAUCACGCCCAUCCAAAAUCUCAUCACCAUCAUUCCCAUUCAGAAUCUCAUCACCAUCAUACCCUUCAAGAAUCUCAUCACCAUCAUUCCCAUCCAGAAUCUCAUCACCAUCAUGCCCAUCCAGAAUCUCAUCACCAUCAUGCCCAACCAGAAUCCCUUCACCAUCAUGUACAUUCAGAAUCCCAUCACCAUCAUGCCCAUCCAGAAUCUCAACACCAUCA
ensembl:lncRNA